GACGAACGCUGGCGGCGUGCUUAACACAUGCAAGUCGAACGGAAAGGCCCUGCUUUUGUGGGGUGCUCGAGUGGCGAACGGGUGAGUAACACGUGAGUAACCUGCCCUUGACUUUGGGAUAACUUCAGGAAACGGGGGCUAAUACCGGAUAGGAGCUCAUGCUGCAUGGUGGGGGUUGGAAAGUUUCGGCGGCUGGGGAUGGACUCGCGGCUGAUCAGCUUGUUGGUGGGGUAGUGGCUUACCAAGGCGUUGACGGGUAGCCGGCCUGAGAGGGUGACAGGCCACAUUGGGACUGAGAUACGGCCCAGACUCCUACGGGAGGCAGCAGUGGGGAAUAUUGCACAAUGGGCGGAAGCCUGAUGCAGCAACGCCGCGUGCGGGAUGACGGCCGUCGGGUUGUAAACCGCGUGCGCCUGUGACGAAGCGUGAGUGACGGUAAUGGGUAAAGAAGCACCGGCUAACUACGUG
rnacentral:rRNA from 1 species